GCCGGGCAUGGUGGUGCAUGCUUGUAAUCCUAGCCACUUGGAGGCUGUGGCAGGAAAAUUGCGAGUUCAAAGCCAGCCUUAGCAAAAGUGAGGUGCUAAGCAAUUCAGUGAGACCUGUCUCUA
rnacentral:sRNA from 1 species